rnacentral:rRNA from 1 species
AUGCAUGUCUAAGUAUAAGCACUUGUACUGUGAAACUGCGAAUGGCUCAUUAAAUCAGUUAUCGUUUAUUUGAUUGUACUUUACUACAUGGAUACCUGUGGUAAUUCUAGAGCUAAUACAUGCGAAAAAUCCCGACUCCUGGAAGGGAUGUAUUUAUUAGAUUAAAAACCAAUGCGGAUCUUCGGGUCCGUUUUCUUGGUGAUUCAUGAUAACUUUUCGAAUCGCAUGGCCCAGCGCCGGCGAUAUUUCAUUCAAAUUUCUGCCCUAUCAACUUUCGAUGGUAAGGUAGUGGCUUACCAUGGUUAUAACGGGUGACGGAGAAUUAGGGUUCGAUUCCGGAGAGGGAGCCUGAGAAACGGCUACCACA